GUUCUUUUCCAAAAACGUAACUUCACAUUCGGGAAGAAAAUCCCACCAUCCACCGGUUAGCUCUCCAGGGUUCCGCCAUUCUAUGGCCUCCGCAGACGACAAUGGCAACCACCUCUCCCGCUUCCUCCACUCCGCCUCCAUCAACUUCCCUUCGCUCUUCACUUCCAAAUCACCAUCACCACCUUCCACAAAAUUGCACAUCCCUCUCCUCGCCCCCAACUCCUUCCUCUCACUCGCUUCACCAUACGAGUUCACUCAGCCUGAUUCGCUUUCCUCAACCCAAUCAAGAACAUCCCAGCCAUCCUCCUCUGCUAUCAAGAACAGACCUUCUGAUUCAGCUUCAGGGUUCCCUUCCCCGGUCAGAAUCUCUGCCAGCAAGGGUGGGGGACCGGCCUUUGUGGGCCAGGUUUUCAGUAUGUGCGAUCUUUCCGGUACUGGUUUAAUGGCUGUUUCUACCCAUUUCGACAUCCCCUUCCUAUCUAAAAGGUACCCUUUUUAUAUGAAUUCACUUAUGGCUUUCCGUCAAUAUGAAUAACUAUAUAAUCGCUAAUAUAAUUUCUAUUAGUAAAUCGGUAUCAGAAUUUUUAUUUUUGGC
rnacentral:lncRNA from 1 species